AUUGAACGCUGGCGGCAUGCCUUACACAUGCAAGUCGAACGGUAACGCGGGGCAACCUGGCGACGAGUGGCGAACGGGUGAGUAAUGCAUCGGAACGUGCCCAGUAGUGGGGGAUAGCCCGGCGAAAGCCGGAUUAAUACCGCAUACGACCUACGGGUGAAAGGGGGGGAUCGCAAGACCUCUCGCUAUUGGAGCGGCCGAUGUCAGAUUAGGUAGUUGGUGGGGUAAAGGCCUACCAAGCCGACGAUCUGUAGCUGGUCUGAGAGGACGACCAGCCACACUGGGACUGAGAAACGGCCCAGACUCCUACGGGAGGCAGCAGUGGGGAAUUUUGGACUAUGGGCGCAAGCCUGAUCCAGCCAUGCCGCGUGCGGGAAGAAGGCCUUCGGGUUGUAAACCGCUUUUGUCAGGGAAGAAAUCUUCUGGGUUAAUACCUCGGGAGGAUGACGGUACCUGAAGAAUAAGCACCGGCUAACUACGUGCCAGCCGCCGCGGUAAGAC
rnacentral:rRNA from 1 species